UGAAAAGUACUUUGAAAAGAGGGUAAAAAGAACCUGAAACCGUUACGGGGGAAGCGGAUUGCGUUGGCCUGGUGGCUACCUGUGUGUUCAGCCAUUUAUGGUGCAUUGAUGCAGGUGGUUAUUCGUCGUGGCUUUUUAGUGGCUGAUAAUGAGCUGCUGAAGGGUGAGGGCUCCCCUUUUUUUGGGUGAGGACGACGGAGUGACGACGCGAUACGACCCGUCUUGAAACACGGACCAAGGAGUCUAGCGCAGGUGCGAGUCAAAGGGUGUUAAAACCUGUGGGCGCAGUGAAAGCGACUUUUUUUUUAAUGUAAAAACGAGCAGUUUGGGGCGGCAUAGAAUCGUUGAUUCUAGGUCCGACCUUGAGCAGUUGCGCUGGGACCCGAAAGAUGGUGAACUAUGCCGGAGUAGGGCGAAGCCAGAGGAAACUCUGGUGGAGGCUCGUAGCGGUGCUGACGUGCAAAUCGCUCGUCGAACUUGGGUAUAGGGGCGAAAGACUAAUCGAACCAUCUAGUAGCUGGUUUCCUCCGAAGUUUCUCUCAGGAUAGCAGGCCGACACUUUUUUUGUUGUUUUGUGC
rnacentral:rRNA from 1 species